GCUCUGGUAGCUCAGCUGGAUAGAGCAGGAACCUCCUAAGUUCAAGGUCGGCAGUUCGAAUCUGCCCCAGAGCA
rnacentral:tRNA from 1 species